rnacentral:rRNA from 1 species
AGAGUUUGAUCCUGGCUCAGAUUGAACGCUGGCGGAAUGCUUUACACAUGCAAGUCGAACGGCAGCACGGGGCAACCUGGUGGCGAGUGGCGAACGGGUGAGUAAUACAUCGGAACGUGCCCAAUCGUGGGGAUAACGUAGCGAAAGUUACGCUAAUACCGCAUACGAUCUACGGAUGAAAGCGGGGGAUCGCAAGACCUCGCGCGAAUGGAGCGGCCGAUGUCAGAUUAGGUAGUUGGUGGGGUAAAGGCUCACCAAGCCGACGAUCUGUAGCUGGUCUGAGAGGACGACCAGCCACACUGGGACUGAGACACGGCCCAGACUCCUACGGGAGGCAGCAGUGGGGAAUUUUGGACAAUGGGCGCAAGCCUGAUCCAGCCAUUCCGCGUGCAGGAUGAAGGCCUUCGGGUUGUAAACUGCUUUGUACGGAACGAAACGGUUCUCUCUAAUACAGGGGGCUAAUGACGGUACCGUAAGAAUAAGCACCGGCUAACUACGUG